rnacentral:rRNA from 1 species
UACGAAGGGGGCUAGCGUUGCUCGGAAUCACUGGGCGUAAAGCGCACGUAGGCGGAUCUUUAAGUCAGGGGUGAAAUCCUGGAGCUCAACUCCAGAACUGCCUUUGAUACUGGCGACCUUGAGUCCGGGAGAGGUGAGUGGAACUGCGAGUGUAGAGGUGAAAUUCGUAGAUAUUCGCAAGAACACCAGUGGCGAAGGCGGCUCACUGGCCCGGUACUGACGCUGAGGCACGAAAGCGUGGGGAGCAAACAGG